UUUUUUAAAUCUUACGCUGGAAAAUGUUGGAUGGGAAGUUUUAGUAGAAAGGAAAAACAUCGGUACUACAAAAUAAACCCUGUGACCAAACUACUUCAAUCCCCUCCCUCAACUCUUGCCUCCUUCCAGACUGUUACCUCCAGUGACCCCCACCCCUACCCCCACCCCGCGCAGCCUGUUGCCAGAUGGGAGCUGGUGACUAGUUUUCCACAAAUAGGGACACAGGGCUGUCUCCGCCUCCUCCAACUCACUUCCCUAGGGCCACAGAAAGCCAGGUUUUUCCACCAGCCGAAAGACCUCCUCAGCCUGGACUACUGAAUCUCCCAGACUAGCAAGAACCACGUCAUCCACCCCUCUCCAUCCCUUCCCCCAGAACUGGAGGACUGGUCACCCCUUCACUUUCCCAGGACCCUGCUGUACUCUUCCUGUCCUCUAAGCAGACAGCUUUCCCAGGAAGCCUGGGUGAGCAGAGAAUUCCUUCCCACAUAGCUGGUACCCCGAGAGGCUCACUAAAGUUAACAGAUGGAGGAACCAGAGCAUCGUCCCACUCCCCCCUGGCCGCCAUUACUGCUCAGUUCCCACAAGGUUGGCGAAUGGUUUCCGCUCCCAUGUCCACCCCACACCUCUAAGUCCACAGUCAUCUUAGAAUAUGCUCCUGCCCCGACACACACAUGCUCAGGAGCCAAUAUCCUUCCCUUGGUCUCUGCAUCUUUUAAACGCAGGAUGGAUUCCUUAGAGUUUUCAAAAAGAAAAAAAAAACUUCUGUGAAUGAUUCAGAUCAAAUAAUUUAUUUUAUUGUGAUAUUGGGAGUGAAUACAGAUAUUAACAAAACAAAGAUAAUGGAAAACAGAAGCAAUAAAUGAAGAUGGCGAUACUGCCCAUGACCACAACCUCAUGGUCAGAAACCCAGUUGAAAAGAA